UACGUAGGGGGCAAGCGUUGUCCGGAUUUACUGGGCGUAAAGAGCGCGCAGGCGGUCGUUCAAGUCGCGUGUGAAAGCCCCCGGCUCAACUGGGGAGGGUCACGCGAUACUGAUCGACUGGAAGGCAGGAGAGGGUAGUGGAAUUCCCGGUGUAGUGGUGAAAUGCGUAGAUAUCGGGAGGAACACCAGUGGCGAAGGCGACUACCUGGCCUGUUCUUGACGCUGAGGCGCGAAAGCUAGGGGAGCAAACGGGG
rnacentral:rRNA from 1 species